GGGGCCCGUAGCUCAGUCAGGACAGAGCGGCGGCCUCCGGAGAGCCGUAGGACGUGGGUUCAAAUCCCACCGGGCCCGCC
rnacentral:tRNA from 1 species